CCUACGGGAGGCAGCAGUGAGGAAUAUUGGUCAAUGGGCUUACGCCUGAACCAGCCACGUCGCGUGAGGGAAGACUGUCCUAUGGGUUGUAAACCUCUUUUGUCAGGGAGAAAAGCCGGCUACGUGUAGCCGGACUGAGAGUACCUGAAGAAAAAGCAUCGGCUAACUCCGUGCAAGCAGCCGCGGUAAUACGGAGGAUGCGAGCGUUAUCCGGAUUUGUGGGGUUUAAGGGGUGCGGAGGCGGAAUGCCAAGUCAGCGGUAAAAUCGCGGGGCUAAACCCCGCUCCGCCGUUGAAACUGGCGUUCUUGAGUGGGCGAGAAGUAGGCGGAAUGCGUGGUGUAGCGGUGAAAUGCGUAGAUAUCACGCAGAACUCCGGUGGCGAAGGCGGCAUGCUGGCGCGCAACUGACGCUGAAGCACGAAAGCGUGGGUAUCGAACAGGAUUAGAUACCCGAGUAGUC
rnacentral:rRNA from 1 species